rnacentral:rRNA from 2 species
GAGUAACACGUGGGUAACCUGCCCAUCAGAAGGGGAUAACACUUGGAAACAGGUGCUAAUACCGUAUAACAAUCGAAACCGCAUGGUUUUGAUUUGAAAGGCGCUUUCGGGUGUCGCUGAUGGAUGGACCCGCGGUGCAUUAGCUAGUUGGUGAGGUAACGGCUCACCAAGGCCACGAUGCAUAGCCGACCUGAGAGGGUGAUCGGCCACAUUGGGACUGAGACACGGCCCAAACUCCUACGGGAGGCAGCAGUAGGGAAUCUUCGGCAAUGGACGAAAGUCUGACCGAGCAACGCCGCGUGAGUGAAGAAGGUUUUCGGAUCGUAAAACUCUGUUGUUAGAGAAGAACAAGGAUGAGAGUAACUGUUCAUCCCUUGACGGUAUCUAACCAGAAAGCCACGGCUAACUACGUGCCAGCAGCCGCGGUAAUACGUAGGUGGCAAGCGUUGUCCGGAUUUAUUGGGCGUAAAGCGAGCGCAGGCGGUUUCUUAAGUCUGAUGUGAAAGCCCCCGGCUCAACCGGGGAGGGUCAUUGGAAACUGGGAGACUUGAGUGCAGAAGAGGAGAGUGGAAUUCCAUGUGUAGCGGUGAAAUGCGUAGAUAUAUGGAGGAACACCAGUGGCGAAGGCGGCUCUCUGGUCUGUAACUGACGCUGAGGCUCGAAAGCGUGGGGAGCAAACAGGAUUAGAUACCCUGGUAGUCCACGCCGUAAACGAUGAGUGCUAAGUGUUGGAGGGUUUCCGCCCUUCAGUGCUGCAGCUAACGCAUUAAGCACUCCGCCUGGGGAGUACGACCGCAAGGUUGAAACUCAAAGGAAUUGAC